rnacentral:rRNA from 1 species
ACUCAAAUGAAUUGACGGGGACCCGCACAAGCGGAGGAUGAUGUGGUUUAAUAUGACGAUACGCGUAAAACCUCACCAAGGCUUGACAUCCUGGGAAUCCACUAGAAAUAGAGGAGUGCCUUCGGGAGCCCAGUGACAGGUGCUGCAUGGCCGUCGUCAGCUCGUGUCGUGAGAUGUUGGGUUAAGUCCCGCAACGAGCGCAACCCUUGUCGUAUGUUGUAUUUUUCAUACGAGACUGCCCGGGCCAACCGGGAGGAAGGUGGGGAUGAGGUCAGGUCAGCAUGGCCCUUACGCCUUGGGCUACACACGUCAUACAAUGGCCGGUACAACGCGUUGCCAACCCGCGAGGGGGAGCUAAUCGCAUCAAAACCGGUCCCAGUUCGGAUUGGAGGCUGCAACUCGCCUCCAUGAAGUCGGAUUCGCUAGUAACCGUGGGUCAGCAUACCGCGGUGAAUACGUUCCCGGGUCUUGCACACACCGCCCGU